rnacentral:rRNA from 1 species
CAGUCGCCAGCGGUAAUACGGAGGGCGCGAGCGUUACCCGGAUUUACUGGGCGUAAAGGGCGUGUAGGCGGCCUGGGGCGUCCCAUGUGAAAGGCCACGGCUCAACCGUGGAGGAGCGUGGGAUACGCUCAGGCUAGAGGGUGGGAGAGGGUGGUGGAAUUCCCGGAGUAGCGGUGAAAUGCGCAGAUACCGGGAGGAACGCCGAUGGCGAAGGCAGCCACCUGGUCCACUUCUGACGCUGAGGCGCGAAAGCGUGGGGAGCAAAUCGGAUUAGAUACCCGGGUAGUCCCUGUCUCUUAUA